GCCGCGUGCAGGAAGACUGCCCUAUGGGUUGUAAACUGCUUUUAUACAGGAAGAAACCGCUCUACGUGUAGAGCUCUGACGGUACUGUAAGAAUAAGGAUCGGCUAACUCCGUGCCAGCAGCCGCGGUAAUACGGAGGAUCCAAGCGUUAUCCGGAAUCAUUGGGUUUAAAGGGUCCGUAGGUGGAUAAUUAAGUCAGGGGUGAAAGUCUGCAGCUCAACUGUAGAAUUGCCUUUGAUACUGGUUAUCUUGAGUUAUUAUGAAGUAGUUAGAAUAUGUAGUGUAGCGGUGAAAUGCAUAGAUAUUACAUAGAAUACCAAUUGCGAAGGCAGAUUACUAAUAAUCAACUGACACUGAUGGACGAAAGCGUGGGGAGCGAACAGGAUUAGAUACCCUGGUAGUCCACGCCGUAAACGAUGGUUACUAGCUGUUCGGACUUCG
rnacentral:rRNA from 1 species